CCCCUCUCAGGAUCGCACCUGGAGAGUUUCCAGUCCUCUUCCAGUUUGGGCUACGGGAGGGAGAGUCAAGCAAAGGUAUAGUUAUUCCAUUCCUAGCUUGGGCAGUGGCUAGCUAGUGGAAGGCAGUCUGCUACAAGU